AGAGUUUGAUUAUGGCUCAGGAUGAACGCUAGCGAUAGGCCUAACACAUGCAAGUCGAGGGGCAGCACAUGAAGUAGCAAUACGGAUGGUGGCGACCGGCGCACGGGUGAGUAACGCGUAUGCAACCUGCCUACAACAGGGGAAUAACCCGUUGAAAGACGGACUAAUACCCCAUAACACAGGGAUCCCGCAUGGGAAUAUUUGUUAAAGAUUUAUCGGUUGUAGAUGGGCAUGCGUUCCAUUAGCUUGUUGGUGAGGUAACGGCUCACCAAGGCAACGACGGGUAGGGGAACUGAGAGGUUUAUCCCCCACACUGGUACUGAGACACGGACCAGACUCCUACGGGAGGCAGCAGUGAGGAAUAUUGGUCAAUGGACGCAAGUCUGAACCAGCCACGUCGCGUGAAGGAAGACGGCCCUACGGGUUGUAAACUUCUUUUGUAAGGGAAUAAAGUGUAGUACGUGUACUAUUUUGCAUGUACCUUACGAAUAAGGAUCGGCUAACUCCGUGCCAGCAGCCGCGGUAAUACGGAGGAUCCGAGCGUUAUCCGGAUUUAUUGGGUUUAAAGGGUGCGCAGGCGGGAGAUUAAGUCGGCGGUGAAAUUUUGCAGCUCAACUGUAAAAGUGCCUUCGAAACUGGUUUCCUUGAGUGUGGAUGAAGUAGGCGGAAUUUGUGGUGUAGCGGUGAAAUGCAUAGAUAUCACGAGGAACUCCGAUUGCGCAGGCAGCUUACUAAACCAUAACUGACGCUCAGGCACGAAAGCGUGGGGAUCAAACAGGAUUAGAUACCCUGGUAGUC
rnacentral:rRNA from 1 species